CCUACGGGUGGCAGCAGUGGGGAAUAUUGGGCAAUGGAGGCAACUCUGACCCAGCAAUGCCGCGUGAGUGAUGACGGUAAUUUUAUUGUUAAGCUCUUUUCUUUGGAACGAAUAAAUGACGGUACCACAGGAAUAAGCCCCGGCUAACUACGUGCCUGCAGACGCGGUAAUACGUAGGGGGCAAGCGUUGUUCGGAAUGACUGGGCGUAAAGGGUGUGUAGGUGGUUUGAUUAGUUAGAUGUGUAAUACCCAGGGCUUAACUCGGGUGCUGCAUCUAAAACUGUUUGACUUGAGUACUGGAGAGGAUAGUGGAAUGCGUGGUGUAGCGGUGGAAUGCGUAGAUAUUAGGAGGAACACCAGUGGCGAAGGCGACUAUCUGGAGAGCAACUGACACUGAGGCACGAAAGCGUGGGGAGCGAACAGGAUUAGAUACCCGGGUAGUC
rnacentral:rRNA from 1 species